rnacentral:lncRNA from 1 species
CAAAUUAGCAUACAUAGAGAGAAGCAGGUCAAGACAAACAAACAACGCUCUUAGGUAGGACGUAGGAUUAGUCAACUGUGUGAUUAAAAAUUAUGUGGCAAGUGGUGUUCCUCCACCGGAGGAGUUUAUGAUAUUAGUCAAGGUGGAGACACAGCUUUGGAUUACGAGUGGGAUAAUUCAAUUGGUAUACUUUGCUGGGUAGAGUACUUCCUGGACCUUGGAAAUAUUUUUUUGUAUUUUGAGACACUCAUCAAUCAUCAUAUGAAGGAGACGUGGCGACAAACCAAUCCAGCUGCGUGAUUCCCAUUCUUUGGUGGUCCCAUACAAUGCCAUUCACCACUCUCAACAUGGAUAAAACCAUUUGGCAAAAAAUAUAUAUGAGAUGAUAUCUCCGUCUCCUUCUUAACAAAAGGAGCCCUUUCUAUCAUCUGGACUUGCUCUCGAUUUGUUGGUAAAAAGCGAGGAUAUUGCAUACCUAGGCUACUUUUAGUUAAGUCUCUUCAUUCUUCUCCAAACUAGAGUGGAAUGGUAUUCCACAGCAGGGCCGUUGGAAAAGGCUUAUCUUAUUAAUUUAAUAGAAACAUUUUCUAGUUCAAAACAAUAGUUUGACCCUUAGCAAACGUGUGAUAUUGCUCAAAAUGAUACCAUUUGAGUGAAGCUGACCGAGGACUUUAUCCCUUGGCUUUUUAAAUACUCAUCACGACUUCUCAGAUGAUUGUUAACUUUGAUGGCUCAUCGGUCCCCAAAAGUGGCAGCACGGAUUCUGAAUCAAUUGAUGUAAAGCAGAUAGUGAGAUAAUUUUAUGAAACUUCUUCCUUAAUCAAAUAUUAAUAUGUGAGGAAAUAUUGUCGGUUUUUAUAAAUAUUCUAUGAAGGAUAUAUUACUGAAGCAAAGAUAUCAUUAACUUAUGUAUGCUACCUAUUAGCUAUAAUAAAGGUAGUACUGGUAUUUUUUUGUUUUUUGUUUGAAUAUUUUUUCAUAAAAAUCCCUUUUAUUGUUUUCUUUUAGUAACUUUUUUAUUUUUUGUGAAAACCUUCUUUAUUUAGUUUCUUGUCUUUUUUUAGAGAUAUUUCUAAAAUCUAUAUAAAGCUAAAUGUUUAUUAGCUAAAUAAAUUUAGCUAAUGCACACCAAUACAGUGUUGUGUAAGUCCUUUUAUAGGACUGAUAACUGCAGUUCCGUCCCGUUCAGUCUCGGUCCAGUCCACUUCAGUCCUACAUAUCAGUCCUAAAACUUAUAAAGUUCGGUCCUUAAUGGCUUUACUCAACUCUAUUUCUUCCUUUUUUUAAUCAGCUGUAGUACUGACAUCUUAAGAGUAUUAAGUCUCAAAGACUGACAGGACCAAGACUGGAAUGGACUUGGCCAAUAUAAAAAGACGUCAACAACAUCAUCAAUACAAUAAAAAAUAUUAUAUAUAUUUUAUCAAAUAUUACGGAACUUUUAAAAGUAAAAUAAUUACAACCUCUUAUAUAUGAUGAAAUAUAUAUGAAAAAUAUUUUUUACUUGAUUUUUGAGUCAAAUAAAGUACACAAAAACAGA